rnacentral:rRNA from 1 species
ACGUGAUCUGAGUUCAGACCGGAGUAAUCCAGGACAGUUUCUAUCUAUAAAGGACUUUUUCUAGUACGAAAGGACCGAAAAAGUGUGGCCAAUGAGCCAUUAAGCCACCCAAACAACUUAUGAUCUCAACUAAAUAAGAAACAAACCUAAUACCCAUCUCAAGAAAAGAGAA